AAUGAGAGUUUGAUCCUGGCUCAGGACGAACGCUGGCGGCGUGCCUAAUACAUGCAAGUAGAACGCUGAGGUUUGGUGUUUACACUAGACUGAUGAGUUGCGAACGGGUGAGUAACGCGUAGGUAACCUGCCUCAUAGCGGGGGAUAACUAUUGGAAACGAUAGCUAAUACCGCAUAAGAGUAAUUAACACAUGUUAGUUAUUUAAAAGGAGCAAUUGCUUCACUGUGAGAUGGACCUGCGUUGUAUUAGCUAGUUGGUGAGGUAAAGGCUCACCAAGGCGACGAUACAUAGCCGACCUGAGAGGGUGAUCGGCCACACUGGGACUGAGACACGGCCCAGACUCCUACGGGAGGCAGCAGUAGGGAAUCUUCGGCAAUGGACGGAAGUCUGACCGAGCAACGCCGCGUGAGUGAAGAAGGUUUUCGGAUCGUAAAGCUCUGUUGUUAGAGAAGAACGUUGGUAGGAGUGGAAAAUCUACCAAGUGACGGUAACUAACCAGAAAGGGACGGCUAACUACGUGCCAGCAGCCGCGGUAAUACGUAGGUCCCGAGCGUUGUCCGGAUUUAUUGGGCGUAAAGCGAGCGCAGGCGGUU
rnacentral:rRNA from 1 species